rnacentral:rRNA from 1 species
AGACAGGUUAGUUUUACCCUACUGUUGUGAGGCUGCGUGAUAGUAAUCGAGUCAAGUACGAGAGGAACGAUUCGAUCGGAUACAUGGUCCUGCACUCGAUGGAGCCGUCGAUGGUGCGAAGCUACAUCCGUAGGUUAAUGACUGAAAGCUUCUAAAGUCAGAAACCUUACUAGAAACCUAGCCAGGCGUGUGCACGUAGGCCUUAACUAUAACCCUCGGUGUGAGUACCGAAGGGGGUGCUUGGCAAGACAAGAUCCGGCCCUAAAUGGGCCGGGGUGUUGACGCGGGGACACAUGCCAGAAGUCCGGUGUAGACGACGCCACACGUGAGGACGGGGUGCUGUAAGCGGAAGAGUGCUUUAGGUGUGAUUCGUUGAGGUUUAGCCCCAGUCCCC